CCCUUCUUCAUGAUCCAGCUCCUUGAACGCUCCCCACCGCAAUGCACUAUAGCGCCCCGGCGUUAGGACCACGCGAUUACGUAUGGAGAGACAGGCUCCAGCAGCCUCACGCACAGACACGCACGGCGCACGGCGAGGCAGUUUCAAGCUGCGUCCCUUCAGUAAGGUCCUCGUCUGUCGCUCAUGGGGAACACUCAGUGAGCUCCUCUCUCUACGGUCAGCGGUUUCUAGGAUGGAUUUUGCCCCGAUUCUGCGCUUUCUUGCGUUGAUACGGUCGCCGGAUAACUUUGGAGACCUAUGAUGAGGAUGUUUGUUUGAGGGAGAUGUGUUUGAUGGAGGUAUAAGUGCGCUUCACGUCGCGCAGUGGAUCGACAGGCUUGAUGGAAACGAUGUCGCCUCAGCAGGGAAGCAUGGCACAAACCCGCUCCGGGUCAACCGGGGAGGGCAAGGUCGAGAAUAAAAAGAUGAAGACUCUGGCCCAGAGGCGUCAGUCUGCUCCUCCAUGGUGAUCAGCAAAGCACUUACCAAAUCAAGGAGCUCCAGUCAACACGCCCCCCUCCCGCCCCGCCACCAUUCAUCAACAUCACAUGACACACAAUAGUGCUGUUGUCCCCUCAUCCGUCAGAGACAAUGGCCGGUCGGCCCGGCUGUCAGUCACACAUUGAGCCAGGCGGGAUGUAGCGUGAAUACGGAAAAUGCCCUCUUGUUACUGGAAAUGGUAUUUGGAGGAGGAGGCGUGUGUGAGUGUCUGUGUGGGGAGACCUCCUGAAUCUGUUUAAGAAGUUGUAUCGCCGAUAGCAACGGAAUACAGGUCUCCACGGUGAAACAUUUUCAUCCAGAGGGAUGACCCCCCCCCCCC
ensembl:lncRNA